rnacentral:rRNA from 1 species
CUGUUGGCACGUAGUUAGCCGGCGCUUUUUCUGCAGGUACCGUCACUUUCGCUUCUUCCCUGCUAAAAGAGGUUUACAACCCGAAGGCCGUCAUCCCUCACGCGGCGUUGCUGCAUCAGGCUUUCGCCCAUUGUGCAAUAUUCCCCACUGCUGCCUCCCGUAGGAGUCUGGGCCGUGUCUCAGUCCCAGUGAGGCCGGUCACCCUCUCAGGCCGGCUACCCGUCGACGCCUUGGUGAAACAUUACCUCACCAACAAGCUGAUAGGCCGCGAGCUCAUCCCUGACCGAAGUUCUUUCCAGCUACUGACCAUGCGAUCGCAGCUCGUAUCCGGUAUUAGACGCCGUUUCCAGCGCUUAUCCCAGAGUCAGGGGCAGAUUGCUCACGUGUUACUCACCCGUUCGCCACUGAUCCACAGAGCAAGCUCUGCUUCACCGUUCGACUUGCAUGUGUAAGCACGCGCCAGCGU